rnacentral:rRNA from 1 species
AGCUUGCUCUUAUGAAGUUAGCGGCGGACGGGUGAGUAACACGUGGGUAACCUGCCCAUAAGACUGGGAUAACUCCGGGAAACCGGGGCUAAUACCGGAUAACAUUUUGAACUGCAUGGUUCGAAAUUGAAAGGCGGCUUCGGCUGUCACUUAUGGAUGGACCCGCGUCGCAUUAGCUAGUUGGUGAGGUAACGGCUCACCAAGGCAACGAUGCGUAGCCGACCUGAGAGGGUGAUCGGCCACACUGGGACUGAGACACGGCCCAGACUCCUACGGGAGGCAGCAGUAGGGAAUCUUCCGCAAUGGACGAAAGUCUGACGGAGCAACGCCGCGUGAGUGAUGAAGGCUUUCGGAUCGUAAAACUCUGUUGUUAGGGAAGAACAAGUGCUAGUUGAAUAAGCUGGCACCUUGACGGUACCUAACCAGAAAGCCACGGCUAACUACGU